AGUAACGACCAGAAGGCUUUUUAAAAAAAUUUAAUAAAUUGUAACAACGUUUCGGAGUUUACUCCAUCAUCAGGUUACAUUUAUACGCACGGUUUUUUUUUAGUGCGUAUAAAUGUAACCUGAUGAUGGAGUAAACUCCGAAACGUUGUUACAAUUUAUUAGCCUUCUGGUCGUUACU